rnacentral:rRNA from 1 species
AAAAACAUCGCUCUUUGUAAAGAAUACUAAUACAUAAAGAGUCCUGCCUGCCCAGUGACAAUAGUUAAACGGCCGCGGUAUUUUGACCGUGCAAAGGUAGCAUAAUCAUUUGCCUUUUAAAUGGAGGCUGGUAUGAAUGGCAAGACGGGGGUUUAGCUGUCUCUCUUUUAGAAUCUUGAAUUUAUCAUCUUUGUGAAGAGGCAAAGAUAAAAUCGUAGGACGAGAAGACCCUAUCGAGCUUUAAUUAUUAAUUAGGGUUGUUGAGUUCUCGUUUUUGGGGUAAUUUAAAAAUUAAAUUUGUUUUACUUAAAAAUGAGAAUUAACUGCUAAUGAGUUGUUUUGGUUGGGGCAACCGCGGAGAAUAAUAAUCCUCCGCUUUUUAAAUUAAAGAAAAACUACUGUUUUAGAAAAUUUUUUGUUAAAAAAUGAUCCACUAAAAAGUGAUCAAAGGAAUAAGUUACCGUAGGGAUAACAGCGUAAUUUUUUUGGAGAGUUCAUAUUGAUAAAAAAGUUUGCGACCUCGAUGUUGGAUCGGGACUUCCUGGAGGUGCAGCA